ACCGCCUGCUUGGAUGCGACAGGAGGAAUUGGCUUGCAGGAAGAAUGGGGAAAGGUGGUGAGAGCGUGCGGAGGACGUGGGCGAUUGCACGGAAAUCUAUGUUGGGCUGUUGACCCUGGAGUAGAGUGUUCCCAGUAUACCACCUUUUUGCAUCCAAUUUACUUCAGUCUGAAGGAUGUAACUAUGGGUCUGAGACAAUCCUGUUUGGGUGGCUGCAGAUUAUGUUUGCAAGGCGAAUGUGAUAGAAGCCGCAAUUCAGUGGAGAGUCAUCUCCAAGUUCCUGAUAUUAUAAUAACACCUCCAACACCCACAGUUCUCUCAACACCCGGGGGCUUGAAACAGGCUGACAGGGACUCGCUGCUAGACGAUACUCUCCCAAACAGAUGUUAGCUGCAAAAAAGCCCUGAUAUUUAUGCAAAAGCCCGAGCACCAAGAUCACAUCAAGAAUGUUUCUUGUUUAAAGAAGCGUUAAGAACAGAUUGCACAGCAACCAUCUGCCUCAUUUCACUUGGUGUGUGAAUGAUAAACUAUACACAGAUUUAUCUACCAAUCUGCUUUUUUUUUAAC